CAGCCGCCGCGGGAAUACGUAGGUGGCAAGCGUUGUCCGGAAUUAUUGGGCGUAAAGGGCUCGCAGGCGGUUUCUUAAGUCUGAUGUGAAAGCCCCCGGCUCAACCGGGGAGGGUCAUUGGAAACUGGGAAACUUGAGUGCAGAAGAGGAGAGUGGAAUUCCACGUGUAGCGGUGAAAUGCGUAGAGAUGUGGAGGAACACCAGUGGCGAAGGCGACUCUCUGGUCUGUAACUGACGCUGAGGAGCGAAAGCGUGGGGAGCGAACAGGAUUAGAUACCCGUGUAGUCCCUGUCUCUUAUAA
rnacentral:rRNA from 1 species